UUUAAUCCUGACAAGACAGCUGCAAAACACUGACACCACAUAUAAAGAGAUUUAAGCAUAAAAUACGGCGAGGCAACCCACGGGAAAUCCCAGAGCCCUCCUCAGACCACAGACCGUGAAGAUUCAGGAAACUGCCUCCUUGCGCUUACAACGUGAUGUCACCAUGACGCAUCACAGUUUCGCAUUGGUUGACGCGGAGCUGACAGCACAGAGGGAGGCAGAGAGCAGCUGGGACGACGGGUCCGUGAGCGUUUCACAGGAGAAAACUUGUUCCCGAGCGACAGAAACAUCAGCGGAUCACUCCUCAGGGGCGACGACAGCCUGGACACACUGGAGACAGAGAGGGAGACAUCGCAGAUCGGUUGCCAGCUGUCCUUCACCACAGUAGCCAUGGUGACAGCAGUCCUGAAGCUGUAUUUUAUUGGAACGGCGCUGAGCAUCCUCGCAGUCCUCUUUGGAAUAGUGGACUCCUUUGGUGGUCUCAUGUACGUCCAGGACCAUCACUACACUGUGGAGCUGGACCACCAGUCAAAGACACAGAGGGAGGCCUCCUCGAGCAGCCACGAGAGAAGCGCAUCCGUGGCUAAACACAUCGGCUCAUAAGGGGAACAUGUUGGGACUUUAUAAAAAGAAAUGGCUGCUGGAUGCACAUGCUGGAUACGCUGGAUCAACAGAAUUGUGCUGCAUCUGUUUCCAAAUAGCUCUGCUCAGGACUAGUGUGACGGUUUGGAUGCAGAAUCCCACAGCAAGCCUCUGCCUGAGCCACUUCGGACCACCUGCUGUCGAACACUGUAGCAGCAGCGUAGUGUGUGUUAUAGCAAUUACAGAUGUGAUGUAACUGCACUAUACUGAACAAUCAUUUGCACUAAACACGAGGAAUGUUUUGUCUCUUGUCAGAUAAGUGUGUGUGCUUUGAGUUUUAUAUAAUUUUUUAAUAAAAGGAAUGAUGAGUUGCAAUGGA